UGAAUCUGCAAAAAUGCGCUCUGCUGC
rnacentral:piRNA from 1 species